rnacentral:rRNA from 1 species
GACGUAGGGGGCGAGCGUUGCUCGGAAUCACUGGGCGUAAAGCGCACGUAGGCGGGUUGCUAAGUCAGGGGUGAAAUCCUGGAGCUCAACUCCAGAACUGCCCUUGAUACUGGCGGCCUUGAGUCCGGGAGAGGUGAGUGGAACUGCGAGUGUAGAGGUGAAAUUCGUAGAUAUUCGCAAGAACACCAGUGGCGAAGGCGGCUCACUGGCCCGGUACUGACGCUGAGGUGCGAAAGCGUGGGGAGCAAACAGG